AAUUGCCGCCAAUUCAUUGAGAUUAGGCAGAAACGAAAUUCCUCCGACUGACAGAGCCUAUUUCUGAAUUGAAUUUACAAAUAGCCGUGAUAGAGAAAACGCUAAGGUCAAGAUAGUUGUCAGGGUCCGUGUUGGCCCAGUGAGAAGGUCUUGUGAAUCGGUGGGAUAAGAAAUAGUGGGAAUUCGCCAGUGCUGGGAGAGUAGGGAAACUUGUUUGGCGAUGAAUAUGUGUUUUACAGGGGUUCUGGGGGUGUUAAAGGAAAAAGAGAAGGAUUUUAGAG
rnacentral:misc_RNA from 1 species